AGUGGCAAAAGCCAUUAUUAUUGUCUUGCAUUUUAACACUGGUCACUUAGUUAAAGCCGACAUUAUGACAUUAGGCAGUGAACAUGUGCUACUGAUAUUAAUGAGGAAAUGGUUUGGCUUUGAUGCCUGAGACUGAUAUUGAAGAAAUGAGAAAGUGUAUAUAUGCAAAGACAGCCCAGAGGAUCGGCUGCCAUUUUCAGGUCUGGAUCAUUGGCAGACAGCGGGACUUUACCUCUGCUGCUAUUAUCCUUCCAAAAA